CUUUUCCUCUAACUUCAACAUUAAGCAGGAAGCGGAAAUUUCUCCCCAGAGGAACACAAUCGAGAAGGUACGCCUCUUAUUAAAGAGACGCAGCCGUCUCGAGAAAGUCGAUGGCAGGAGCCUACGGAGAGAGAGGGAUCGAGAAGCGCUCAGCCAUAUCUGCCUUUUCGUCGCCGUGGAAAACUACUGUCAUCCAUGGAUCUCAGUGUGACAGGCCUACAAUACGCAGGGAAUGUGUAUUGCUAUGAACUGCAUGCCCUCUUCAAACAGAGUAAAUGCAAUCUGUUUGGAGAAGUGUGUUGGAACCAGGGACUCAACCUCAGAGGUACUGACUGACUUGUCAAACAAAUGCGGAUAUGAAACCAGGAGCAGCACAUGCAAUUAAGCCUCAUGUUCCACAGAUGCAAAAAAGGUAGCACGGCCAGCACCUGGAGAAGCUGAAUGAAGAGUGAGCACAACUCAGCAAGAAACCUCACACAGCACUUGGCCUUCCCUGGCGUGAAAAAAUAAAUUAAAACUAAUCUUAUACAAAAUAUAUUCUGUAUUUUUCUGGGGAAAUAUUUGGCCACUCCUAUGAGGGUUGAGCACAUUUGACCUGUCUCCACAGCAUGAAGAAACAAGCAGUGUCUAAAAAUUAUUAUUUUUUUUUUUUUUAAGU